rnacentral:sRNA from 1 species
CGAUAACCACGAAUGAUCCUGACCGCA